UCACUGCUUUUACUGCGGCGAGGGCACCCACCUUGUCCGUCAGUGCCCCCACAAGACGCCACGACCAGCAGAGGGGAGUGCGGACCACCAACCUUGUCGCCAAAUGGUGAGUUCAAUCCGAACACACACUCCACAUAUAUUCGUGUUACCCGUUAAAAUAGAGCAUUCAGGCCAGUCUUUUGUGCUUUCAGCGCUAAUCGACUCAGGAGCAGCCAGAAACUUCAUAGAUCAGAAGACGGCGCAGAACCUUGGCCUCCACUUACGUCCCCACAUCAAAUCCAGUCCAUAGACGGGUCCCCCAAGGCGGGGAGUCAUAUUCCACUGCACGCUGCCACUAAGACUGCAAGUUAGUGCUCUCCACCAUGAUACCAUCGUCCUGUACAUCACGGUCUCCGUCUGGCACCCCGCCAUUCUAGGCCUACCUUGACUGGAGCUUCACCAUCCCCAGGUCUCUUGGAUGGACAAGCAGGUUACCCAGUGGUCCCAGUACUGCCUGAGCAACUGCCUAAACGGCCCCGCAGCCACGACAGUGGAGAGCUCUAUGUCUCGUGUUCUAGUCAUGGUCCCUCCUGAAUAUCGUGACCUCAGCGAGGUGUUCAGCAAGAAGAAAGCAAGCUGUUUACCACCACACUGACCCUACGACUGCUCCAUUGACCUCCUUCCCGGAGCCAGUCCACCUCGGGGUCGUGUAUAUCCUCUCUCCCAAGCUGAACACGCAGCCAUGGAGGAAUACAUUCAGGAGGCCCUCCAUCAAGGAACAACCUCCUGGACACCAAGCAGUCUGGCUUCAAGAGCAACCACUCUACGGAGACUGCUCUGCUUUCCGUCACUGAAGCCUUACGACUAGCAAGAGCAACCUCUAGAUCAUCUGUCCUCAUCCUACUUGACCUCUCUGCUGCAUUUGACACUGUGAAUCAUCAGAUCCUUCUGUCAACUCUCUCCAGCCUGGGCAUCACUGGAACGGUUCUGCGCUGGGUGGAAUCCUAUCUCUCUGACAGAUC
ensembl:lncRNA